ACACUCUCUCGGCCUUGUGGCUAAGAUCAAGUAUCUGUUCUUAUCAGUUUAAUAUUUCAUUUUUUAAUCUCACGGUUAUGGUCAAUACCGGAAUAUCGUGACACCCCCUUUCUCUAUCACAUAACGUUUCUGGUGUUAGGGCUCCUGACCUUCACCUUGUUCAGUCUGCCAGCCCAAAUCCGU